CCUACGGGAGGCAGCAGUGAGGAAUAUUGGUCAAUGGACGCAAGUCUGAACCAGCCAUGCCGCGUGCAGGAAGACGGCUCUAUGAGUUGUAAACUGCUUUUGUACGAGGGUAAACGCAGAUACGCGUAUCUGUCUGCAAGUAUCGUACGAAUAAGGAUCGGCUAACUCCGUGCCAGCAGCCGCGGUAAUACGGAGGAUCCAAGCGUUAUCCGGAUUUAUUGGGUUUAAAGGGUGCGUAGGCGGUCGGAUAAGUUAGAGGUGAAAUCCCGAGGCUCAACCUCGGAAUUGCCUCGGAUACUGGUCGGCUAGAGAGUAGUGGCGGUAGGCGGAAUGUAUGGUGUAGCGGUGAAAUGCUUAGAGAUCAUACAGAACACCGAUUGCGAAGGCAGCUUACCAAGCUACUUCUGACGUUGAGGCACGAAGGCGUGGGGAGCAAACAGGAUUAGAUACCCCUGUAGUC
rnacentral:rRNA from 1 species